GCCCUCGUGGUGCAACGGAUAGCACGCAAGAUUCCGGUUCUUGAAAUGUGGGUUCGAUUCCUGCCGAGGGCGCUA
rnacentral:tRNA from 1 species